ensembl:misc_RNA 7SK 7SK RNA
GGUUUGAUCUGGCUGUAGCAUCUGUCACCCCAUUUAUCACUAGGGUUCAUUCAGCUGAUCUGGCUGGCAAGGCAGGUAUCCCCUUCUUCCCUUACUGUUCCAUGUGCAUCCCUCCCAAAGCAUUAUGCUUGGUGGAAGAGGAUGAUUUUUUCCGAUAGAGGAAGAUCAUUCUUCAGUAAAGGGUAUAUGAGUAGCUGUGUUCCCCUGCUAGAACUUCCAAACAAGCUCUCAACUAACCUUUUAUGUGGGGGAUCUGAUUGUUGUUUAACAGGAAGAUUCCCAACUGUCAGGCUUUUCUCU